AUGAAGAACGUAGCGAAAUGCGAUACGUAAUGUGAAUUGCAGAAUUCAGUGAAUCAUCGAAUCUUUGAACGCAUAUUGCGCUCUCUGGUAUUCCGGAGAGCAUGCUUGUUUGAGUAUCAGUAAACACCUCAACUCCCUUUCUUCUUGAAAUGGAGCUGGACUUGAGUGAUCCCAACGCUUUAUUCAUAAAGUGGCGGGUUACUUGAAAUGCAGGUGCAGCUGGACUUUUCUCUGAGCUAUAAGCAUAUCUAUUUAGUCUGCCUCAAAACAGAUUAUUACCUUUGCUGCAGCUAACAUAAAGGAGAUUAGUUCUUGUGCUGACUGAUGCAGGAUUCACAAAGACCGCUUCGGCUGUCUUUGUAAACUCGAUCUCAAAUCAAGUAAGACUACCCGCUGAACUUAAGCAUAUCAAUAAGCGGAGGA
rnacentral:misc_RNA from 1 species